rnacentral:rRNA from 1 species
UACGUAGGCAGCAAGCGUUGUUCGGAGUUACUGGGCGUAAAGGGUGCGUAGGUGGCUCUAUAAGUAUGGUGUGAAAUCUCCCGGCUUAACUGGGAGGGUGCGCCGUAGACUGUGGGGCUAGAGUGUGGGAGAGGAAAGUGGAAUUCCUGGUGUAGCGGUGAAAUGCGCAGAUAUCAGGAGGAACACCGGUGGCGAAGGCGGCCAACUGGACGAAUACUGACGCUGAGACACGAAAGCGUGGGGAGCAAACAGG